rnacentral:lncRNA from 1 species
CGCGGGCAGCGACGCCUGCAGAGCCGCGCCCAGGCCCGGGCACCGCCGACGGGAGGUUGAAUUUGACCGGUUCAGCCCCAGUGUCUUCCAGGACUCCUGGCCCAGAGUGGGGAAUUUGAGCUUUUCCACCAGAGGAGGAGGUGUGCAGAGCCACUGGGAGGCCGUGAGGAACCGCGCUAUAGCCGCUGGUGUGCGGUGUCAGGCGCGUGCCAUUCAGAACGCAUCCUCAUUGGGGAAUGAUUCAAAGGGAGAGGGGGUCUUUGGAAGAAUCGUUCCUACUCUGGGUAAAGAUAGGCCAGUCCCCUUGAGUGAUUCUAGACAGUCAGUAGGCUACAUGUUACGGCUGGAAGUCCACACCGAAGUUAUUACUCCAGGAUGUGCCAAUCGGAAAACUGCCCAUUCACAACCCGGAACCAAGAGAAUGCCAUUCUCAUCAUUCUGGAAUUCAGAAGAGAAGAAAAUGGUAAACGAACUUGGAGUCAUUCAAGAAACCAGUCCCGAAAACCAACAGGUGAAAAAGUGAAACAUUAUGAGAUGAAGUAAAAAGAAAACGUGAAAUCACCUAGGGGAAGCGACAGAAUCUGCAGUUAAGCCAUGAUGCCUUGAAAUGCUUCCAUUUCAUUGUCUGCCUCCUCCUUCUUCUUCUCUUCCCACCCUUUUUUCCGAUUCUCCUUUACCAUCUGGAGGUAAGAGCAC